rnacentral:rRNA from 1 species
CGAAAGCCUGACGGAGCAAGACCGCGUGGGGGAAGAAGGCUCUUGGGUUGUAAACCCCUUUUCUCUGGGAAGAAAGUUGUGAAAGCAGCCUGACGGUACCAGAGGAAUCAGCAUCGGCUAACUCCGUGCCAGCAGCCGCGGUAAGACGGAGGAUGCAAGCGUUAUCCGGAAUGAUUGGGCGUAAAGCGUCCGCAGGUGGCAGUUCAAGUCUGCUGUCAAAGACCGGGGCUUAACUUCGGAAAGGCAGUGGAAACUGAACAGCUAGAGUAUGGUAGGGGCAGAGGGAAUUCCUGGUGUAGCGGUGAAAUGCGUAGAGAUCAGGAAGAACAUCGGUGGCGAAGGCGCUCUGCUGGGCCGUAACUGACACUCAUGGACGAAAGCUAGGGGAGCG